rnacentral:rRNA from 1 species
AUUGAACGCUGGCGGCAUGCUUUACACAUGCAAGUCGAACGGCAGCACAGGGAGCUUGCUCCCGGGUGGCGAGUGGCGCACGGGUGAGUAAUACAUCGGAACGUGUCCUGUUGUGGGGGAUAACUGCUCGAAAGGGUGGCUAAUACCGCAUGAGACCUGAGGGUGAAAGCGGGGGAUCGCAAGACCUCGCGCAAUUGGAGCGGCCGAUGCCCGAUUAGCUAGUUGGUGAGGUAAAGGCUCACCAAGGCGACGAUCGGUAGCUGGUCUGAGAGGACGACCAGCCACACUGGGACUGAGACACGGCCCAGACUCCUACGGGAGGCAGCAGUGGGGAAUUUUGGACAAUGGGGGCAACCCUGAUCCAGCCAUGCCGCGUGCAGGAUGAAGGCCUUCGGUUGUAAACUGCUUUGUCAGGGACGAAAAGGACCGUGUAAGUACCAUGGUCUGCUGACGGUACCUGAAGAAUAAGCACCGGCUAACUACGUG